rfam:Exophiala dermatitidis NIH/TT8656 unplaced genomic scaffold supercont1.1, whole genome shotgun sequence.
AGUCCUUUGGUGUAGUGGUAUCACGUCUCCUUUACAAUGACUAAUCAUGUCUUUCCACACGGAGAAGGUCAUGGGUUCGAAACCCAUAGGGACUA